rnacentral:rRNA from 1 species
GAGCGCCUACGGGACGCAGCAGUGAGGAAUAUUGGUCAAUGGUCGGGAGACUGAACCAGCCAAGCCGCGUGAGGGAUGAAGGUACAGAGUAUCGUAAACCUCUUUUGUCAGGGAACAAAGGCGGGGACGUGUCCCCGGAUGAGUGUACCUGAAGAAAAAGCAUCGGCUAACUCCGUGCCAGCAGCCGCGGUGAUACGGAGGAUGCGAGCGUUAUCCGGAUUUAUUGGGUUUAAAGGGUGCGCAGGCGGGCUGUUAAGUCAGCGGUCAAAGCCCGGGG